AUUUUUCUUGUUUCUGUUUUCUGUUUCCCCCCCUUUAAUAAGCCCCACUUUUGUUAACUCGCCUCUCUAUCUCUCUCUCUCCCCCUCUAUUUCUCUUCUUCGCUCUCGUUCUCGUUCUCGUUUUUGGCUGUUGCUUUCAAAAUUCUCUCCGUUUCUCCCUCUCUUUUCGAUUUGAUCGUGAGAUUUCAAUUCCGGCGUUUGACUGGCCUGUGUUCCGGCAAUCUUAGUCGGAUGACUCAGCAUCCCGAUCCGCCACGGUCGAAAUUCCCGGCGACUCGAUUCAAACAAUGGUACAAUUCGUUUCUUCUUUUUUAUCUCAGAUCCAGACCUCUUUGAUCUCCAUAGGACCAUCUGGAUGCCGAAUCGUUUGAUAAUCACCCUCCGUUCGUUCUAUUCGGGGUUAGAUUUCAUGCAUGAUCUGUCUAGGUCUGUUUUGCAUCAAGUGCAUGAUUUGAUCGGUAGCUUGUGGAUUGUAACCUAGGGUUAGGGUUUAUUGGGUGAGAUGUUGAACAGAAUCAUUAAGCGCGGACACCGUAAGCCCUCGAAGUCCGACGCUAAUGAUUCUGGGGUGUUCGGAUAUAACACGCCAGGGUAUCGCAAUUCUGGAUCAGUCUCCACCUCGAAUGUGGUCGUGAACCAUGCCUCCCGAGCUGCUCCACCGAUGCCUGCGCCGAAUUCCAAUGCUCAGCCCGGGGGUCAAGCAAUUGUGGCUGCCCCGCCUUCUGGCGCCAUCGAGACCCUGCCUUUGUUCCGCGACGUACCUGCUCCAGACCGCCAAGCCUUGUUUCUUCGGAAGUUGCAAAUUUGUUGUUUCCAAUUUGAAUUUUCGGACACUCUGAAGUCAGUCCGUGAGAAGGAAAUAAAGCGGCAGAGUUUGCUUGAGCUUGUUGAUUUUAUACAGUCCGGGUCUGGGAAGAUUACAGAAAAUGUUCAAGAAGAAAUGAUUCGGAUGAUAUCAGUGAAUAUUUUCCGGUGCCUACCGCCAGCUUCCCAUGAGAAUACAGGGGCUGAGAACACUGAUCCAGAAGAGGAAGAGCCCUAUUUGGAACCCUCAUGGCCCCACUUGCAGCUUGUUUAUGAACUGCUUUUGAGGUAUGUUGUUUCAUCGGAUACAGACACAAAGAUUGCAAAGCGGUAUAUUGAUCAUUCCUUUGUGUUGAAACUACUUGAUUUGUUUGAUUCGGAGGACCCCCGCGAGAGGGAAUAUUUGAAAACUAUCCUGCAUCGCAUAUAUGGGAAAUUCAUGGUACAUCGUCCCUUUAUAAGGAAGGCAAUUAAUAAUAUUUUUUAUCGCUUUAUAUAUGAGACAGAGAGGCACAGUGGCAUUGGUGAGCUUUUGGAAAUUCUUGGGAGCAUAAUAAAUGGUUUUGCUUUGCCAAUGAAGGAGGAGCAUAAGUUGUUUCUUGUGCGGGCUCUUAUACCGCUCCAUAAGCCAAAGCCAAUUGCAAUAUAUCAUCAGCAGCUGUCAUACUGCAUUACACAGUUUGUUGAAAAAGAUUACAAAUUGGCAGAUACUGUUAUAAGAGGUUUGUUGAAGUAUUGGCCUGUUACCAAUUGUCAGAAGGAAGUUCUCUUUCUUGGUGAACUUGAAGAAGUACUGGAGGCUACCCAGGCGGCAGAAUUUCAACGCUGCAUGGUUCCUCUUUUCAGACAGAUUGCACGCUGCCUAAAUAGUUCACAUUUUCAGGUUGCAGAAAGGGCUCUCUUUUUGUGGAAUAAUGAACACAUUGUAAGCUUAAUUGCCCAAAACCGUGGUGUCAUUCUACCAAUCAUUUUUGAGGCAUUGGAGAAGAAUAUUCAGAGCCACUGGAACCAGGCAGUCCAUGGGUUGACUGUCAAUGUUCGGAAAAUGUUCUUGGAAAUGGAUAUAGAGUUAUUUGAGGAGUGCCAGCGGCUGUAUGCUGAGAAAGAGGCCAGGGCCAAAGAUUUGGAAGAGCAGCGGGAGUUGACAUGGCAGAGACUAGCAGCUGCAGCAGCACAGGGAGGGGGCGAGGAUAUGGUCACAGUGUGACUGAUUUCUUACUAUUUAGCAUCUCAUCAUUAAAAAAUGCUGGAUGGAUGGUCAGAUGUGCUCCUCUCCAUUUUGAUGGAAACUAUUACAGAACGCAGCAGCUAGGGCUUCCAGCAAAGUCCCAGUGAUCAGCAAGAGGAAACUUUAUUCAGCAAGGAGACUUGGGAAGAAUUUGUCAUUCUCUGCCAUGAAAAUACUGCGAUGUGCAAUGCAGUGCGAACAUGUACCGAUAAAUUACUUUGAAUUGAAAUGGUAUUUGAAAACAUCGAUUUCAAGCUUAUAUUUGGAUUUACGUGAAUUCCAAAGUAAAUAUAAUUUUAUAUUACUUUUUGUUUAAAUUCACACAAUUUUGAAUUUAAGAUUUGAAAUCCAUGUUUUUAAAAUGCAAGAUGUAUCUAUAUAGCCCUUAGGAAUUGAAUUCUAACAAAUAUGUUGAAUGCUUAAUCCUGGGACAAGCAGUUUCCACCAAGAGUAACGGAAAGGGGGGGGCUUGCUUCUGGAAUUGGGAUAAUUACAUGCUUCAUGCCAAAGUUGAGGAUAAUUAGCUUUUAUGGUUAUUUGUAGAA